GAUGAACGCUGGCGGCGUGCCUAAUACAUGCAAGUCGAGCGAACGGACGAGAAGCUUGCUUUUCUGAUGUUAGCGGCGGACGGGUGAGUAACACGUGGAUAACCUACCCAAAGACUGGGAUAACUUCGGGAAACCGGAGCUAAUACCGGAUAAUAUUUUGAACCGCAUGGUUCAAAAGUGAAAGACGGUCUUGCUGUCACUUAUAGAUGGAUCCGCGCUGCAUUAGCUAGUUGGUAAGGUAACGGCUUACCAAGGCAACGAUGCAUAGCCGACCUGAGAGGGUGAUCGGCCACACUGGAACUGAGACACGGUCCAGACUCCUACGGGAGGCAGCAGUAGGGAAUCUUCCGCAAUGGGCGAAAGCCUGACGGAGCAACGCCGCGUGAGUGAUGAAGGUCUUCGGAUCGUAAAACUCUGUUAUUAGGGAAGAACAUAUGUGUAAGUAACUGUGCACAUCUUGACGGUACCUAAUCAGAAAGCCACGGCUAACUACGUG
rnacentral:rRNA from 1 species